rnacentral:rRNA from 1 species
UAACUCAGGGAAACUUGUGCUAAUACCGAAUGUGCCCUUCGGGGGAAAGAUUUAUCGCCUUUAGAGCGGCCCGCGUCUGAUUAGCUUGUUGGUGGGGUAAUGGCCCACCAAGGCGACGAUCAGUAGCUGGUCUGAGAGGAUGACCAGCCACAUUGGGACUGAGACACGGCCCAAACUCCUACGGGAGGCAGCAGUGGGGAAUCUUGCGCAAUGGGCGAAAGCCUGACGCAGCCAUGCCGCGUGGAUGAUGAAGGUCUUAGGAUUGUAAAAUCCUUUCACCGGUGAAGAUAAUGACUGUAGCCGGAGAAGAAGCCCCGGCUAACUUCGUGCCAGCAGCCGCGGUAAUACGAAGGGGGCUAGCGUUGCUCGGAAUUACUGGGCGUAAAGGGAGCGUAGGCGGACAUUUAAGUCAGGGGUGAAAUCCCGAGGCUCAACCUCGGAACUGCCUUUGAUACUGGGUGUCUUGAGUGUGAGAGAGGUGAGUGGAACUCCGAGUGUAGAGGUGAAAUUCGUAGAUAUUCGGAAGAACACCAGUGGCGAAGGCGACUCACUGGCUCAUUACUGACGCUGAGGCUCGAAAGCGUGGGGAGCAAACAGGAUUAGAUACCCUGGUAGUCCACGCCGUAAACGAUGAUUGCUAGUUGUCGGGGAGCUUGCUCUUCGGUGACGCAGCUAACGCAUUAAGCAA